UCUUAGGAACCUCCGCUCAGGUAAAACUGA
rnacentral:piRNA from 1 species